rnacentral:tRNA from 2 species
GCGGAUAUAGUUGAAUGGUAAAAUUUCUCUUUGCCGAG